rnacentral:rRNA from 1 species
AUUGAACGCUGGCGGCAUGCUUUACACAUGCAAGUCGAACGGUAACAGGGUGCUUGCACCGCUGACGAGUGGCGAACGGGUGAGUAAUGCGUCGGAACGUGCCGAGUAGUGGGGGAUAACGCAGCGAAAGUUGUGCUAAUACCGCAUACGUACUGAGGUAGAAAGUGGGGGACCUUCGGGCCUCACGCUAUUCGAGCGGCCGACGUCUGAUUAGCUAGUAGGUGAGGUAAAGGCUCACCUAGGCGACGAUCAGUAGCGGGUCUGAGAGGAUGGUCGGCCACACUGGGACUGAGUCACGGCCCAGACUCCUACGGGAGGCAGCAGUGGGGAAUUUUGGACAAGGGGCGAAAGCCUGAUCCAGCCAUGCCGCGUGUCUGAAGAAGGCCUUCGGGUUGUAAAGGACUUUUGUCGGGGAGGAAAUCCCCAGCGUUAAUACCGCUGGGGGAUGACAGUACCUGAAGAAUAAGCACCGGCUAACUACGUGCCAGCCGCCGCAGUAACAC